ACUGCAGUCGACGGGCUGUUUAUGCAGCCAGUGGCGGACGGGUGAGUAACACGUAGGUGACCUACCCCAAAGUCUGGGACAACUAGGAGAAAUCUUAGCUAAUCCUGGAUGUGGACAUCUACUUUGGUGGAUGUUUAAAGCUUCGGCGCUUUGGGAUGGGCCUGCGGCGCAUCAGGUAGUUGGUGGGGUAAUGGCCUACCAAGCCGACGACGCGUAGCUGGUCUGAGAGGACGAUCAGCCACAGGGGUACUGAGACACGGACCCCACUCCUACGGGAGGCAGCAGUUAGGAAUCUUCCGCAAUGGGCGAAAGCCUGACGGAGCGAUACCGCUUGAAGGACGAAGCCCUUCGGGGUGUAAACUUCUGAACUCGGGACGAUAAUGACGGUACCGAGGUAAUAGCACCGGCUAACUCCGUGCCAGCAGCCGCGGUAAUACGGAGGGUGCGAGCGUUACCCGGAUUUACUGGGUGUAAAGGGCGUGUAGGCGGUCUCUCAAGUCCGAUGCUAAAGACCGAAGCUCAACUUCGGGGGUGCGUUGGAUACUGUGAGGCUAGACGGUCGGAGAGGGUAGCGGAAUUUCCGGAGUAGCGGUGAAAUGCGCAGAUACCGGAAGGAACGCCAAUAGCGAAAGCAGCUACCUGGACGAUUUGUGACGCUGAGGCGCGAAAGCGUGGGGAGCAAACCGGAUUAGAUACCCGGGUAGUCCACGCCCUAAACGAUGAGUGCUGGGUGUCCGACAUCUGUUGGGUGCCGUAGCUAACGCGUUAAGCACUCCACCUGGGAAGUACGGUCGCAAGACUGAAACUCAAAGGAAUUGACGGGGGCCCGCACAAGCGGUGGAGCAUGUGGUUUAAUUCGAAGCAACGCGCAGAACCUUACCAGGUCUUGACAUCCACGGAACCCUGGUGAAAGCCG
rnacentral:rRNA from 1 species